GGUGUCCUCAGGCUUACCACAGACUGUGUUCUUUGCAAUGACUUAAUAGAUGGAGGAGGCAAAAUAAACCCACCCGAUAUACACCCCAGUCCAGGCCCCUUGCCUGGUCUCUAUUAUGAAUCGGGGGACACAU